AGUAUAGGAGUUAUUCAGUCUUUAAAUAUUUAAUAGAAUUCACUUGUAAAAUCCAUCAGUUAACCUACAAGUGCUUAACUAUGUGCCCAGCACUGUGCUAGGCACUGACCAUGUAAGUACAAAGUAACCCUAAAUGCACACUCACAGUGAGCUCACAUCCCAAUGAAAAUGAGCACAUCUCAAAAUAUACACAGUGUAGACAUAAUGUUAGUAAAUCCAAACAUAUAAAAAGUCAUUAAUUCUAAGGGAGUUUUGGAGGAAGGACCCUUGCAGUCAGGGAGAUCAGCAAAAACUUCAUGUGGAAGAUGGUUCUGGAGCAACAGGACUCAAAAGUGGAAGUGAGGAGAAUGAGCAUCAGAGAUACGGAAACCAGAGGUGAGUAAAAGAGAAAAGGCCAAUUUGGUUGGACUCCAGAAUGCAAGACAGAAUAAUGUCCAGUGAAGCCAGAAAGCUGCUUUGGGGACACAUUGUGUAGGCCCAUAAAAGGCCGUAAAAGAACAGAGUUGAGAUUUUUUUCCUGUGGACAAUAUGAAGCCAUAGAGCCGCUUAAGUAGUAGAAUCACGUGUUCAGAUCUGUGUUCAUGGAAAACGACUGGAGUGGAGAGGAUCUGGAGGCAGGGAGGCCAUUUUGGAGGCUGUUACAAUAAUCUAGGUCAGGGCUUCUCAAACUUUUUCCACUCAAGACCCCUUCAGCACUUCUCACAGUGGUGAGAGGUGAUGGGGCCUCUGUGAGUGGAGAGAAGGGGUCAGAUGCAAGAGAUAUAGGGGUAGAAAUGGCAUAAUUUGUCAACUGAUUAGAUAACAGGGGUGAGGAAGAGGGAGGAGUUGAGGAUGAUGCUGAGCUUACAAAGCUCAGACACUAGAAGAAAUCGUGGUGCCUUUAACAAAAAUCGGGGAGUUUGGUUUAGUGGGAAAGAUCUAGAGUUGAAUUUUGGACAUAUUGAGUCGAAGGUGUCUCAGGCACAUCCCGUUUCAAAUGAGAGUUAGGCACUGGAACUCAAGGGAGAAACUAAGGCUCCAUAUCUAGAGAUGAGAGGCACCCCAUGAAAAUGGCUGAGGUCGCGAAGAGAGGAAAGAGGGAGAAGAGGCCCAGGACAAGAGCUCAAAGAAUACCCACUCCCCUUUUGAUGGGUUCUCUCUCAGAAAUCAGCUUAUUGAAAUUCUGGAUUUCUUGUUUGGCUCAUUCGCAUAAUUUCUAUUUAAUGCAUCCUUUUCAUUUAAGGUUUCAGAUGAUUUGAGUACGGUCAGUGGUGUUCAGCAGGUGUACCCACAAGUAGAGAUUCUUUGGCUUAUGACCAAAGCCUGGAAUACAGGCAUCUACCAGUAUAAUGAGGGCCUGUACGUAACUGCUGAGAAGUGGUGUGCUUUGGCAAUUCGCUUUCUUGGCCACCUUGGCUCCCUGAAGAAGUGCUAUGAACGUCAGAUGACUGAGGUGUAUGGCGAGAUCCUGGCCAAGGUGGAGAAAGAUAAAAGCUUGCCUUCCAAAGAGGAAUAGGAGCUACCAGAACUUGGAGCACAUGGAGGUCCUCAGUAGCAGAGCAUCUAGGCCUGUUCUCAGGGUCUUAUGGUGUUAGAUUGAUUAAAAUGACAAGAUUAUUGGGGGGAGGAGGG